AUACGAAGGGGGCUAGCGUUGUUCGGAAUCACUGGGCGUAAAGCGCGCGUAGGUGGAUCAAUUAGUUGAGGGUGAAAUCCCGGGGCUCAACCUCGGAACUGCCUUCAAUACUGUUGAUCUUGAGACCGAGAGAGGUGAGUGGAAUUCCUAGUGUAGAGGUGAAAUUCGUAGAUAUUAGGAAGAACACCAGUGGCGAAGGCGGCUCACUGGCUCGGUACUGACGCUGAGGUGCGAAAGUGUGGGGAGCAAACAGGAUUAGAAACCCUAGUAGUCC
rnacentral:rRNA from 1 species